rnacentral:rRNA from 1 species
GAUGAACGCUGGCGGCGUGCCUAAUACAUGCAAGUCGAGCGAACAGACGAGGAGCUUGCUCCUCUGACGUUAGCGGCGGACGGGUGAGUAACACGUGGAUAACCUACCUAUAAGACUGGGAUAACUUCGGGAAACCGGAGCUAAUACCGGAUAAUAUAUUGAACCGCAUGGUUCAAUAGUGAAAGACGGUUUUGCUGUCACUUAUAGAUGGAUCCGCGCCGCAUUAGCUAGUUGGUAAGGUAACGGCUUACCAAGGCAACGAUGCGUAGCCGACCUGAGAGGGUGAUCGGCCACACUGGAACUGAGACACGGUCCAGACUCCUACGGGAGGCAGCAGUAGGGAAUCUUCCGAAAUGGGCGAAAGCCUGACGGAGCAACGCCGCGUGAAUGAUGAAGGUCUUCGGAUCGUAAAACUCUGUUAUUAGGAAAGAACAAAUGUGUAAGUAACUAUGCACGUCUUGACGGUACCUAAUCAGAAAGCCACGGCUAACUACGU